rnacentral:rRNA from 1 species
AGUGACAAGAAAUAACAAUACAGGACUUUUUGGUUUUGUAAUUGGAAUGAGUUAAGUAUAAACCCCUUUACAAGUAUCAAUUGGAGGGCAAGUCUGGUGCCAGCAGCCGCGGUAAUUCCAGCUCCAAUAGCGUAUAUUAAAGUUGUUGCAGUUAAAAAGCUCGUAGUUGGAUUUCUGUUAAUAAUUUAUAUAUUAUACUUUUUAAGGUGUUUAUAUAAUAUUAACAUAAUUCAUAUUACUAUUUUUAGUAUAUGAAAUUUUACUUUGAGAAAAUUAGAGUGCUUAAAGCAGG